rnacentral:lncRNA from 1 species
AUGUACAACUGGGCUGGAGGGUGCCGUGCGCUGCUGAGCUGUGCUGUGCUGAUCGCUGUGCUGUGCUGAUCGCUGUGCUGUGCUGUGCUGUGCCCAUCCAUCUGCAUGCUUGUAAACCCAGCUGUAAGCUCGUCCAACGUGUGCAGUACCUGACGUGCUCGUGGUAACCAUUCCAUCAGUCACCGCCCCGCGCCGCGUGGGAACGACUUCAAUCAGGCAUCGUACAUUACUCGUACGACACCGUACGUACAGCAAAAGGAGGACCGAGCGGAUUUGUGCACAUGGCCUAGGUAAUAGGGUGUGGCGGCCGCUUGAUCAUGACGCCGGUCGUUAUUGGCAUAUGUAGAGGUAGGUACCCCGGUAGGUAAGUAGGUAGAGGGCCGAUGUGAUUGUGGAUAGGGAGGCUGCAGGAAGGCAGGAAAGCAGCAGGAAGAGAGGCUUGUGAUGGCUGCACACCGCCCUGUGAAACCCCCUGAUACCCCAUGCACGCCUCGCUGUGCUGUGUUUUCCUGUCCGGGUACAGAUGCCCUUCCUUGGCCCGUACGUGUUCGAUGUGGAUGCUGUGGAUUCCAACCCCUGCGCAUGGCAUGGCCGCGGCGGCCUCACGGUUGGCUAGCGCCAAGUGUCCAUUACAGGGCACACAUUGCUUUUACAAUGCCAAGCCUUUAUUACAGCCAAAUCUUUGUUUUCUUGGCCUUACCGCUUAGGGGUCGUUCAGACGGAGGGGUACCUGCAGGCAGGAAAGUUAGUGCUUGCUUCCAUGGGAGGGGGAGAGCCUGGUUACCGAGCGACUCUGCUUCUGAAGCCUGUAGGUUAGGCAGAAGCCGCAGCGGAAACCUGUCAGUAUGAACUCGCUAUGAACUCGCGAACUUGCUCUUUCCGUCGCACUCCUGCGACUUAUUCUAGCCCUGUACGGUCCAGCCGUACACACCAAGGACAUUCAACCGAGUACACGCUCGGCAAAUUGUAUUGUAUUGUGGUUACAGUAUUUCCGCCGCCGACGCGGCGGGUGCCCUCACGAGCCGUGAGGCUCCAGAGCACGCUGUUGACGCUCAUCAAAAACCUCAGUAAGGAAAGUAGCGAUUUUCCUCGGAUUGGUAUUAAGAAAUACCUUGCGCAUAUCAGUAUCUUCAACGUUAAUCAGAAACCUAUUACGCAACUCAGUAUACGCCUCACACUCCAUGAGCACAUGAUAUUCAUCCUCAACCUUACCCGACGUACAGACCUGACACGUACGGCACUCUCUCGGCCUAUGGUGUCCUUUGUUGACCUCCAAAGGCCAACAACAAAGACGGAAUUUGGCAACCAUACGCAACUGGUUGACCGGCAAAUAAACACGCAAAUAGCCUGUGGGAUCGGAGCCCUCUCUUGCUGGUGAAGGGGAGCCCAUCCAGUUAUGAUACCUGCAAAGCGAAACCCCUUUACCUUGGAACACACGCGGAUCACCCCCUUGGCUGAACUGAUCCCAGUCACUUAAAAGGAACGCAGAUAACCUCUCCAGAACCUCACCCACUCGAAUCAACUGAGACGAGUAUACAUCUACCUUCUGAGAAACGGAGUCACACGCCGGCCACUCAUGGCCCAACCAACGCAAAAUGAUGAGCACUUUAGACGACCAGCAAUCCACUUUGAGAUCAGACAGAAGAGCCAGACGGAGAUCAUCUACUAACACGUCAUGAUAGACCGACCCACGGGACUUGACUAUCUUAUUCCAGAAACACAACGCAAGGCGUAGCCAAAAGUACUGCAAAGGCAACUGAGACAGCUCCCUGUACAACAGCUUGUAAGGUACCUGCUUGAGCCCAGCACAACGUAAACAGAAGUCACGCUGGACCUGGACCAUACCAUCUUCCAAAGCCAAAUCAAGAUAUGACUUACCAGCGGGUAAAACACCUUUACCUAACCGCAGGACGGAGACAAUCCUAUCAGGACCCCAGACCUCAGCACCAUAACAGAGAACCGAACGGACCUGGGUGUCGAACGCUUGAAGCCGAACGGCAGGAGCCCACACCCUGUUCUCAUCCAACCGAUUACUAAGACCGAACAUAGCCCGUCGCCCUGCUUCCAAAAGUUCGUUGACACAACUCGCAAACGGGGACGCAGGGCCCCAAUAGAGACCCAAGUACCUAACGCGACCACACCAGUUAAUAGGACUAGGAACAAGUAAACUACCAACCAUGGGUGGGUGCCAAAGCGACCCAUCAGUACGGAGAGGAAGCAUGAGCCUCACCCCCUCAAACGCCCUCUUAACGACAUCAACGGAAGCAGCCACAACAAGGGCCUCACAUUUCCGAACGUUGCAGCGCAUACCAAAAGCAGCACAGAACUCAAUAAGCAGCUUAAGCGAGAACUGGAGGCGUGCCAACGAGGUCGCGAACAAAGUAAGGUCGUCUGCAUAGAACAACAGAGGCAACCGACGAUCAUUAAUGACAGGACAUUCGUGUGCACGUGUGUUGAACCAUUCGUCCAUACCAUCCCUCGCUUCAAGGUAGUCGGCAAUAACUUCAAUGAAGAACCCGAACAAAUUGGGACUCAUGAGACACCCCUGCUUCACGCCCUGCAGAGAUGCAAAGAUGGACCCUAGGCGACCGUUAACCUUGACCCGUUGGAGAACACGUUCGUAGCAUAUAAAUACACAGAAAACUUUGGUUUUCUUUCGUUUCGCUCAUAAAGCCUACAGUUACAGGCGCGAUAUCUGACGCGCAGCUCCACCUCCGCAUGCCUGUUUUUUUCAAGGUCUGUGGCGUCAGCUUCACCCGGCUGCCUUGACUGCUGCUGCAGCAGGCGGGCAGGGACAUGGAUGGGUCCCUACUGACUGGACUCCGCUACACCGCUCUGACGGAUUGAAGCAGCGGCCGAAUCACCAGCUCUGUGCAUUAGCUUAAUCGGCCCUGCUGUAAUAAGCUACUGCUUGGCCCCGACAUUGCGGACCAGGAACAGCAAGCAGGUGCUUUCAGGGGGAGCAAUGUGCUUCUAAAUACCACCCCCCACCAUCGAGCGCAAGCUUGGCCAAAGGAGUAUUUUGCCGUGCACUCGUCCGUGGCCCAUCCCUGUUGUUUUCAUACCUUUCUCGGCCUUUUGGCUCAGAUCAUGUGUAGUAUCUGUUCUUAUUAGCUUAAUCGCUAAUAUGGUCCUCAUUGAGGACCUGCGAUUAACUUGAAUAUUUCUCGGGGGCUUGUCAAUGGUGCGCUUGCGCAUCCAACUUGCCAGCAUGGUUGCGGCCUUACACUACCGCUGCAGCCGUGCACCCGCCCAUACGAAAAUGUACAACUGGGCUGGAGGGUGCCGUGCGCUGCUGAGCUGUGCUGUGCUGAUCGCUGUGCUGUGCUGAUCGCUGUGCUGUGCUGUGCCCAUCCAUCUGCAUGCUUGUAAACCCAGCUGUAAGCUCGUCCAACGUGUGCAGUACCUGACGUGCUCGUGGUAACCAUUCCAUCAGUCACCGCCCCGCGCCGCGUGGGAACGACUUCAAUCAGACAUCGUACAUUACUCGUACGACACCGUACGUACAGCAAAAGGAGGACCGAGCGGAUUUGUGCACAUGGCCUAGGUAAUAGGGUGUGGCGGCCGCUUGAUCAUGACGCCGGUCGUUAUUGGCAUAUGUAGAGGUAGGUACCCCGGUAGGUAAGUAGGUAGAGGGCCGAUGUGAUUGUGGAUAGGGAGGCUGCAGGAAGGCAGGAAAGCAGCAGGAAGAGAGGCUUGUGAUGGCUGCACACCGCCCUGUGAAACCCCCUGAUACCCCAUGCACGCCUCGCUGUGCUGUGUUUUCCUGUCCGGGUACAGAUGCCCUUCCUUGGCCCGUACGUGUUCGAUGUGGAUGCUGUGGAUUCCAACCCCUGCGCAUGGCAUGGCCGCGGCGGCCUCACGGUUGGCUAGCGCCAAGUGUCCAUUACAGGGCACACGUUGCUUUUACAAUGCCAAGCCUUUAUUACAGCCAAAUCUUUGUUUUCUUGAGUAGUUGCCUUACCGCUUAGGGGUCGUUCAGACGGAGGGGUACCUGCAGGCAGGAAAGUUAGUGCUUGCUUCCGUGGGAGGGGGCGAGCCUGGUUACCGAGCGACUCUGCUUCUGAAGCCUGUAGAUUAGGCAGAAGCCGCAGCGGAAACCUGUCAGUAUGAACUCGCUAUGAACUCGCGAAAUUGCAUUUUUCCGUCGCACUCCUGCGACUUAUUCUAGCCCUGUACGGUCCAGCCGUACACACCAAGGACAUUCAACCGAGUACACGCUCGGCAAAUGCACAGAAAGCUUUUGUUUUCUUUCGUUUCGCUCAUAAAGCCUACAGUUACAGGCGCGAUAUCUGACGCGCAGCUCCACCUCCGCAUGCCUGUUUUUUUCAAGGUCUGUGGCGUCAGCUUCACCCGGCUGCCUUGACUGCUGCUGCAGCAGGCGGGCAGGGACAUGGAUGGGUCCCUACUGACUGGACUCCGCUACACCGCUCUGACGGAUUGAAGCAGCGGCCGAAUCACCAGCUCUGUGCAUUAGCUUAAUCGGCCCUGCUGUAAUAAGCUACUGCUUGGCCCCGACAUUGCGGACCAGGAACAGCAAGCAGGUGCUUUCAGGGGGAGCAAUGUGCUUCUAAAUACCACCCCCCACCAUCGAGCGCAAGCUUGGCCAAAGGAGUAUUUUGCCGUGCACUCGUCCGUGGCCCAUCCCUGUUGUUUUCAUACCUUUCUCGGCCUUUUGGCUCAGAUCAUGUGUAGUAUCUGUUCUUAUUAGCUUAAUCGCUAAUAUGGUCCUCAUUGAGGACCUGCGAUUAACUUGAAUAUUUCUUGGGGGCUUGUCAAUGGUGCGCUUGCGCAUCCGACUUGCCAGCAUGGUUGCGGCCUUACACUACCGCUGCAGCCGUGCACCCGCCCAUACGAAAAUGUACAACUGGGCUGGAGGGUGCCGUGCGCUGCUGAGCUGUGCUGUGCUGAUCGCUGUGCUGUGCUGUGCUGUGCCCAUCCAUCUGCAUGCUUGUAAACCCAGCUGUAAGCUCGUCCAACGUGUGCAGUACCUGACGUGCUCGUGGUAACCAUUCCAUCAGUCACCGCCCCGCGCCGCGUGGGAACGACUUCAAUCAGGCAUCGUACAUUACUCGUACGACACCGUACGUACAGCAAAAGGAGGACCGAGCGCCAAUGCCUUUACUGCACAAGCAUGCGAUUCGCGUCAUAAACGUUGUGAUAUGCGGGAGCACCUCCUUCCUGCCGGCUUGCUGGGCCGCCAGACCCAUCCAAUGCUUAUACUUCGCCAUGUGAGUUCCUGGUUGAUUGCCGUCUGGUCAAUACACGUCUGACUGAACAUCUAGACGUGUAUGCUUCCAACCACUCAUCAAUCG